GGAAUUUCUAGAAACCAAAUCCACAGAGUGCAUGUCAUGACUUCUUAUCUGGGAAUUUUGUGGUGUUAAAUCAGUCCUUAAUCAGACCUUGAUCAAGA